AAUAAGUACAGUUUUAGCACUGUUCAUGUCUAACGUUUGACUGCUUGUUUUAUUUGAAAAAAAAUAUGAUUGGUAUUUUUAUUAUUAUUACAUAAUAAAACAUUAGUACUUUAUGUGUGACUAAUUUUUUUUAAUUUUUUCAUAAAUUUUUCGAAUAAAACGAACGGUCAGAACGCUAAACACGGAUAUCUAUGGCUGGACUUAUU
rfam:Oryza rufipogon genomic scaffold, chr01